CUGCACGCAUCCGCUACACGCGACCUGCUCGACGCUACGAACCCCAUCGAGCUCGAACAUGUUGCGCCUCAGGUCUCAGGCCGGUAAAAAGUGAAAUUUUCUCCCCACCACAACCUGGCCUGGUGGGAGCUUCGAACAUGCCUGUUUGCCUGUUGCGCGUUGCAAGAGAUCACAUUGCCGUGUUGAGUAAUCAGCAAUCUGGAAAUCGUUCUGAGCCUGCACAUUUGAAACUAGAACGUGAUUGCCGCACAAACAGUGGCGGGGCGGGAGGGAGCUGGGCGGCCAUCGCUCUUGACUCGAGCCCCAACCAGCAUAAGCUGGUCUGGGGCCUGUGGUGACGUAAGCGUCUUACAAAAAAAAAUUUGGAGAGUAAACACAUUAUUAAUAAUCGAGAAUGGCAUUACAUACAGGGGUACCAGGUGGAGUUAUUUUACAAUGGUGAUCGACUUUGAUAAUGCAUCUGAACCCAGAAAACCCUAGGCGUUCCAAUGGAUCACGUGGCUUUGAAACUUUGGAUAUUUACAAGCGAGUCUCCCUCCGAUAAGGUAUACAGUGGCGUCGAUAUCUCUGCAGCCACCACACUGUCUGCGAUACGGUUAUCAGUAGGGGGGUGGAGACCAGGGGGAUCAUUAACUUAGUUGCAGUUCAAAACAAAGAGGGAAGUACGGCUACGGCUACGGCUACGACUACGGCUACGGCGGAACAGAGUCUAACAGCUAGGCAAACAAUGACACUUCACUGGACAAACACGGUGUAAAAAGUAAGGUCGGGAGACGUUAUGUAAGUUCCGCUCUUUCCACUACCCUAACAAUGGACUCAAUAAACUGGCAAAUAAAUAAAAACAAAUGGCCAGAACGGAAUGGAAAAUCAGAAGAAUGAAUUCUAUUGAAAGGGGAAUUAAGAAGCUCUCUGGUCUCUGGUCAGAAGUGAUUACAAAAUGCCAUCGAAUCAAUCACACAAACUACGAGUACACCCACCGAAAAAUGAUUGUCCAUCCAGAGUUGCUCCACAAAAAGCCGGAGAAUAGGAAACCACAAAAAUAAAAUAAGAAAAGCAUAGAUAUCAGUCUCCCAGCUUUAUGUUUAUUCUUUGCAAUGGAAUAUUUUUGUAUAUCUUGGUUUUAUGAUAAAAUAGUUUAUGCUGCAAUAGUGCAUUAUAAUAGGUUCUUAAGAGUUACUCAACAGGAUGUAUUUAGUUCCAAAAAGAGCAUAAUAUCAUUGAGAACUUAAGCCUCUAGAACUAAACUCUACCCACUUCCUAGAACACCCGUACUGACCUACACCUCUAGAAACUAUAUUUUCUUAAAUGGCCACUUGAAGCAGAGACAGUCUAUAUGGGAGGCCUUAAUUGAUUCAAAAAACCCGAUUGGAUGUCCAGCUUCUAGUUUACAGCUCCCUGAUUACUGUUGAUCAUGAGCAAAUCCCAGUUACGUGAUCACUGCGAUAUAUCCACGUGAGUUGGCCGAUUCACGUGUAUGAACCAAUCGUACCGACAUUCGUUGGUAGUGCCCAGACCCUACCAGACCCUACCAGACCCUAGGCCCCAGACCCCCAACCCUCCUCCGUCGUAGGCCCUUGAGAUUCGCCACCCCACUAUACCCCCUCCAUUAUCAGUAUGCAAAUAUAUAAUAGGGCCCUUAUCAAAUUCUGUGAAUUCGCCUACUAACAUUUUGCCAUGGGAUCGGAUCGGAGCUCACACAUCCAUUGAAUGGCACUGCGACUGGGUUUUGUUUGCACAAACACACUUGCAGCCGAGUACACUUACAGAAAAACUAAGGUAAUCAGUUAGGAGGGGGGGCAACACCAAAAACUGUUACGAAACACUGUCGUCGUUCUCGUUCUCGACUACGUUGUCGUAGUCAGAGUCUCCAGCAACAAGAAAAAAAACUAAACCCCCCACAUCCCACCGCCCUUACUGCAUCGCCUGGCAAGUUAUAGCAACGCCACAGCUAUUUAUAAUUUCGCAGCGAGAGGCGUGCGCGCUGACUCGACGCUCAACGCUCAGCGGUAGCGGUCCGCUUCGGUCACGUGUCGCGAAAUGUGCCCACCGGCAGCGAAGCCGGCCGAGGCAGCG
rnacentral:sRNA from 1 species